CUUGAUCGACCCGAGCCACAGCGGCCGCUCGGCGGUCCGGUCCCGGCCGUAGGUGGCGAGCAGUGCCUGCGCUUC
rnacentral:antisense_RNA from 1 species